UCAGCGCCCCCCAGGACCGGCCGGACGACGGCUGGAGGGGCGGGGGGACCCGUGUGUGUCUGCGGGGAAACUCGGAGUCAGGGGGAAUCUGAGCCCCUUCCCCUGCAAGGCCAAAGACAGAUCGCUGACUUUGAUGGAGAACUUCUGUGCUCAGGGGCCGCCGAAUCCUUCCUUUGGUGCUGUUUGUCUGCUUUUUAACUCCCGCCGGUGUCCGAGCAGCGCUCCUCCGAACGGCAGCGCGCAGCGCUCUAUCUUCACCAACAACGUAAGCGGGACAUUCUCGAGAUCCACCUCGGGACGCGGUCGCGCCUUCGGUAAGCUUCGAGCCGAAGGACGACGGCCUACGGACUUUGGUUUGCCGAGGAUCUCUGCAGAGGACACACAGCGCUUUGGUUUGGGUUGUUUCCCUUGUCCUUACAACACUGCCCGGCCGGGAAGCUAGGGCAGUCCUCGGCGUCCCAGUUAUUGUUUUUUUGACAGGGCCGAGAGCAGUUAGGGGCCGGGCCACAGCGGGUCUAUCCUGUUGCUCGAGCCGGCGCGUGGGACUGACCGUGAAGGUAAUUGACGGGAAUCCCCGUCGUUUUCUUGCCUCUCUUCAUUUCUCCCUUUUAUUCGUCUCCUCUCUGCGUCGUCUGUUCCCCGGGGCCUGGGCUCCAGCUUUCCCCCCCCCCCCCCCCCCCCCCCGAGGAAUGAGUUGCAUUAUGGUAUCCUGCAACUUUAAAAGCGAGAUCGCGAGCUGAA